rnacentral:lncRNA from 1 species
UUUGUAACCCUAAUUCACAGAAUAUAAAAGGAGGAUGAAUCAGUAAACAACUUCUAGACCUAGAGGCAGAAAAGAGAGCACAACAAAACCCUGGAGGCGGAAUUGAAUCAAAAACCCUAAAGAUAACUUUUUCAAUACAAGAUUGCAAAAAGGCAGAAGCGAGAGAAACCCUAGGAUCGGAUUCGACGGUGAAGGAAGUUACCUGAAGAGAGCGCACCAGUUCUUCGCACCACUAUCAUAACCGCGCCGAGCUUCGUUUGAGGAGGUAAUCAUCACAUUUCUCUCGACAUCCUCAUAACAUGUGACCUUUUGUUUGCAUCUUUUGAUUUUGCUCUAGGAAAGGUUCAGCGUUUUUCUUAGUCGUUGUUGUCGUUGCGUUUCGGUUUCGUUGUGAAGGAGAUGAUAGGAUGAGACGAAUGUUGGUCAUUUUAGUUUAGGUUAGGGGUAUUGGUUUUCUCUUUGAGUUUGUCUCUGUUUCGAGUGUGGAGGGAGAUGAAUGUCUCCAGAGAGAGGAGCGAUGCGAGAGAGAGGGAGGAAGACGAACCUCUGUGUUUCC